ACCAAAUGGCAACGGUGAAACAGCUGUAUACGUACUACCGAGUUGCGCGUUGCAAAACUACAAUUUGACAACUUGUUCAUAAUUUAUUUAACUGGAAUUACGUUUUAUGAAUACAGUUCACAAUUAGCGUUAAACCGUAAAAAUGUGUCAACAGAACAGACAGGAAAUCAGAUCAGUGUCGGGCAAUCAAGCUGGCGCAUUUCACCGUUUCAUAUAUAUCCAAAUGCACACUUUCCAUUUCGCUUAAUGGCAAUUAAGUUGCAAGAAUCGCGAUGCUGGAGACACAAUGUCGCUAGCUAGCACCCGAUUUCAGCCCUCCAUCACCGGAAUUUUCUUGGACGAUGACCCGCCCUCCCCGUCAUCUCCUACCUUGGCUUAAUGCUUGCGGUGCUGCGCUCGUAGGCCCAAGCUGCGGUCUGUGCUGGUGGAGCCAACUGAUCUGCGAAGCUGGAAGUCGGGUAAUUCCUGUCCAUCAUCCGGCAAAAUUGGGAGUGAUGCACUU